rnacentral:rRNA from 1 species
UACAGAGGUGGCAAGCGUUGUUCGGAAUUACUGGGCGUAAAGGGCGCGUAGGCGGCCUUCUAAGUCAGACGUGAAAUCCCCCGGCUUAACCUGGGAACUGCGUCUGAUACUGGGAGGCUUGAGUAUGGGAGAGGGAUGUAGAAUUCCAGGUGUAGCGGUGAAAUGCGUAGAUAUCUGGAGGAAUACCGGUGGCGAAGGCGGCAUCCUGGACCAUUACUGACGCUGAGGCGCGAAAGCCAGGGGAGCAAACGGG